UUACCAAUUAAACUUGGAGGCGAAGGACCGCAUAAAACAUAGAAACAAUUUCCACAAAUAUUUCCGCGACUAUAUGGAUUAAAACUUUCUUGACCUAUUUUACUUGUAAAAGAACCUUUGAUCUUUAACACUCACAUCUUCAUUAGUUGUCUGAUUACUCGUGGCUAGAUACGUGUGAAAACCAGCAAGACCCAAAAUACUCCAAGCGGAAAAAAAGCAUAUCACUCCUACAAUGACACUACCAGGAGAUAAUUUGACAGCUUCUAAAAAUGCAUUUAAAAAUACUCACGCAUUAUUAAAUGUGUAACAGCGCAGGCAAAUAUAAAAACACAUAAGAAUGCUAAAGAUACUAUAAAAGCAUAAAAAUAUCUAUAAUUUCUUCUACCAACACAAUUGCCAACCCACGGACAAUGGUGAUCAAAUCUUUCUGGAAUAAUUGAAAAUAAAAUAUAUAUAGACUUUAAUGGAUUAUAUAUAUAUAAUAUACAUACAUUAACCAAAUUAUUGAAAUAUUAAGGAUAGGUGUAAAAGAAAAAAAAAAAAGAAAAAAGAAAGAUGCUAAGUAUACACUAAAAUUUCUUAACCUACCUACACAAUUAUCGCAUAAGCUACAGUGCGAGGCUCUUGGUGGUCUAAAUAUCUUACAAGUAAAGCAAUAUUUUAACUUUACGGGCUGUCCUCGUACCAAUACUUCUUUUGUUCUUGGAGGUGGUCUAUAUGUUUUAGAGUUACCAUUAUUUGGUACUUCUGUAUCAGCACAUGCAACAGACAUAAAUAACCUCAUCAGGGGUCGCUCUUGGAAUAACACCAGGAUCACUAAAGCUCGUUCGAAACAACGCAGACAUUACAAAUACGAAUAAUAAUCCACCUAUUACCGGAAUUGCAGGUGUUAUAUGUACAGCCAAAAAUGGACAACUGUAAAAUAUCAAUAGAGAUAUUUAAAGAAAAUAAAACUAAAUGACAACGGCUAAAA
rnacentral:lncRNA from 1 species